rnacentral:tRNA from 3 species
UGGGGCGUCGCCAAGCGGUAAGGCACCGGAUUUUGAUUCCGGCACUCCCAGGUUCGAAUCCUGGCGCCCCAGCCA